rnacentral:misc_RNA from 1 species
GUGGGAGGGGGCUUGCUCCCGAUAGCAGUGUGUCAGUCAGUACAUUUGAUACUGACACUCUGCUAUCGGGAGCAAGCCCCCUCCCAC